CCUACGGGAGGCAGCAGUGGGGAAUAUUGCGCAAUGGGCGAAAGCCUGACGCAGCGACACCGCGUGAGGGAUGAAGGUCUUCGGAUCGUAAACCUCUGUCAGCAGGGAAGAACGGUCACUGUGCUAAUCAGCAGUGAAUUGACGGUACCUGCAAAGGACGCACCGGCUAACUCCGUGCCAGCAGCCGCGGUAAUACGGAGGGUGCGAGCGUUAAUCGGAAUUACUGGGCGUAAAGCGCUCGUAGGCGGUAUGUCAAGUCAAGGGUGAAAUCCCCGCGCUCAACGUGGGAACUGCCUUUGAAACUGGCAAACUGGAGUGUGUGAGAGGAUAGUGGAAUUCCAGGUGUAGGAGUGAAAGCCGUAGAUAUCUGGAGGAACAUCAGUGGCGAAGGCGACUAUCUGGCACAUAACUGACGCUGAGGAGCGAAAGCGUGGGUAGCAAACAGGAUUAGAUACCCGAGUAGUC
rnacentral:rRNA from 1 species